rnacentral:rRNA from 1 species
GAUGAACGCUAGCGGCAGGCCUAACACAUGCAAGUCGAGGGAGGAGCCUUCGGGCUUCGACCGGCGUACGGGUGCGUAACGCGUAUACAAUCUGCCUUUCACAUAGGGAUAGCCCGAAGAAAUUUGGAUUAAUACCUAAUGGUAUAUAGGAGUGGCAUCACAUUUAUAUUAAAGCUGAGGCGGUAUAAGAUGAGUAUGCGUCCUAUUAGCUAGUUGGUAUGGUAACGGCAUACCAAGGCUACGAUAGGUAGGGGUCCUGAGAGGGAGAUCCCCCACACUGGUACUGAGACACGGACCAGACUCCUACGGGAGGCAGCAGUGAGGAAUAUUGGUCAAUGGUCGGAAGACUGAACCAGCCAUGCCGCGUGCAGGAAGACGGCCUUAUGGGUUGUAAACUGCUUUUGUAAGGGAAGAAUAAGUCGUAUGUAUACGGCGAUGACGGUACUUUACGAAUAAGCAUCGGCUG